AUUGAACGCUGGCGGCAGGCCUAACACAUGCAAGUCGAACGGUAACAGAAAGCAGCUUGCUGCUUUGCUGACGAGUGGCGGACGGGUGAGAAAUGUCUGGGAAACUGCCUGAUGGAGGGGGAUAACUACUGGAAACGGUAGCUAAUACCGCAUAACGUCUCAAGCCCAAAGAGGGGGACCUUCGGGCCUCUUGCCAUCGGAUGUGCCCAGAUGGGAUUAGCUAGUAGGUGGGGUAAAGGCUCACCUAGGCGACGAUCCCUAGCUGGUCUGAGAGGAUGACCAGCCACACUGGAACUGAGACACGGUCCAGACUCCUACGGGAGGCAGCAGUGGGGAAUAUUGCACAAUGGGCGCAAGCCUGAUGCAGCCAUGCCGCGUGUAUGAAGAAGGCCUUCGGGUUGUAAAGUACUUUCAGCGGGAAGGAAGGGAGUAAAGUUAAUACCUUUGCUCAUUGACGUUACCCGCAGAAGAAGCACCGGCUAACUCCGUG
rnacentral:rRNA from 1 species